UACGGGGGGGGCAAGCGUUGUUCGGAAUUACUGGGCGUAAAGGGCUCGUAGGCGGCCAACUAAGUCAGACGUGAAAUCCCUCGGCUUAACCGGGGAACUGCGUCUGAUACUGGAUGGCUUGAGGUUGGGAGAGGGAUGCGGAAUUCCAGGUGUAGCGGUGAAAUGCGUAGAUAUCUGGAGGAACACCGGUGGCGAAGGCGGCAUCCUGGACCAAUUCUGACGCUGAGGCGCGACAGCGUGGGGAGCAAACAGG
rnacentral:rRNA from 1 species